rnacentral:rRNA from 1 species
CCGUUCCCGGGCCUUGUACACACCGCCCGUCACACCACGAAAGUUGGCAACACCCGAAGCCGGUGGGCUAACCCGCAAGGGGGGCAGCCGUCGAAGGUGGGGUCAGCGAUUGGGGUG